CUUUCUGUUUGUUUUAUAUCAAUUUGUGCACUUCUUUUUUGUGCUCGUUUGAGAUGGCCUUGGCGAUUGAUAGACGCUCUUGGUCAUCACCUUGCUCCACUUGGUGGGAGUGGGUUGUAGUCGUGUCUGGGUAGUGGAGGUACAUAGCCUUAGUCCCAGUUCGUCCUUAGUUGAACUACUGGUCGUGGUAAUGAAGCGCAGCUUUAUAGUUCGACUUGGACUGAACUUUACGCGGGUCGAAACGUUAGUUUGGAGUUAGUCGUACUUAUUUGAAUGGCGAGGCGCUUGGCCCGAUCAGGGGUUCGUUCGUGGUAGGACAUUUGGGGGCGCUCGUCGUUGCCUGAUCGCAGCCCGGCUCAUAGCCUCGGGACGUGUUUCCUUGGAUUUGAUUUGUCCCUGGUUGAGUUUGUGGCUUUUGUGACGGAGGCGUGUAGCCUGAGUCCUUAUUCAACUCAUAGUUGAAUACUUUUGUAAUUCGUAAUGGCGGAGCACUUGGCCGGAGUCCUAGUCCAACUCGUAAUUGAUCUUUUAGGGUGAAGGCACAUAGCCUGAGUUGUCGUUCAACCGUAGUUGAACCUUUGUUAUUUUUGAAGGCACGUAGCCUGAGUCCCAGUUCAACCGUAGUCGAAAUUUUGGGUGAAGGCACGUAGCUUGAGCUUCCGUUCAACCGUAGUUGAACCUCUAUGAUUUUUGAAGGCGCGUAGCUUGAGUCCCAGUUCAACCGUAGUUGAACUUUUUGGUGAAGGCACGUAGCCUAAGUUGUCGUUCAACUGUAGUUGAACCAUUGUAAUUUUUGAAGGCACGUAGCCUGAGUCCCAGUUCAACCGUAGUUGAACUUUUGGGUGAAGGCACGUAGCCUGAGCUGCCGUUCAACCGUAGUUGAACCUCUGUGAUUUUUGAAGGCACAUAGCAUGAGUCCUAGUUCAACCGUAGUUGAACUUUUGGGUGAAGGCACGUAGCCCGAGUUGUCAUUCAACCGUAGUUGAACCUUUGUAAUUUUUGAAGGCACGCAGCAUGAGUUGCCGUCAACCGUAGUUGAACCUCUGUGAUUUUUGAAGGCGCGUAGCGUGAGUCCCAGUUCAACCGUAGUUGAAAUUUCGGGUGAAGGCACGUAGCCUGAGCUCUCGUUCAACCGUAGUUGAACCUUUGUAAUAUUUGAUGUCGAAGGCACAUAGCCUGAGUUCUAGUUCAACCGUAGUUGACGUUUUGGGUGAAGGCAUGUAGCCUGAGCUGUCCUUCAACUGCAGUUGAACCUUUGUAAUAUUUGAUGUCGAAGGCACAUGGCUUGAGUCCCAAUUCAACCGUAGUUGAAAUUUUUGGGUGAAGGCACGUAGCCUGAGCUACUGUUCAACCGUUGUUGAACCUCUGUGAUUUUUGAAGGAGUGUAACCUGAGUCCCAGUUCAACCGUAGUUAAACUUUUGGGUGAAGGCACGUAGCCUGAGUUGUCGUUCAACCUAGUUGAACCUUUGUAAUUUUUGAAGGCACGUAGCCUGAGUUCCAGUUCAAUUGUAAUUGAACUUUUGGGUGAAGGAGCAUAGCCUGAGCUCUUGUUCAACUCUAGUUGAACCUCUGUGAUUUUUUUAAGGCGCGUAGCCUGAGUCCCAGUUCAACCGUAGUUGAAAUUUUGGGUGAAGGAACAUAGCCUGAGGUGCUAUUCAACCCUAGUUGAAUCUUUGUAAUAUUUGAUGUCGAAGGCACAUAGCCCGAGUCCCAGUUCAACCGUAGUUGAUCUUUUGGGUGAAGGCACGUAGCCUGAGCUGCCGUUCAACCGUAGUUGAACCUUUUUAAUAUUUGAUGUCGUAGGCACAUGGCCUGAGUCCCAGUUCAAUCGUAGCUGAACUUUUUGGGUGAAGGCACGAAGCCUGAGUUGCCGUUCAACCGUAGUUGAACCUCUGUGAUUUUUGAUGGCGCCUAGCCUGAGUCCCAGUUCAACCGUAGUUGAACUUUUUGGGUGAAGGCACGUAGCCGAGCUACCGUUCAACCAUAGUUGAACCUCUGUGAUAUUUUAAGGCACGUAGCCUGAGUCCCAGUUCAACCGUGGUUGAACUUUUUGGGUGAAGGCACGUAGCAUGAUCUCCCGUUAAAUCGUAGUUGAACCUUUGUGAUUUUUGAAGGCACGUAGCCUGAGUCCCAGUUUAACUGUAGUUGAACUUUUUGGGUGAAGGCACGUAGCUUGAGCUGCCGUUCAACCGUAGUUUAACCUCUGUGAUUUUUGAAGCCGCGUAGCCUGAGUCCCAGUUCAACAGUAGUUGAACUUUUUCGGUGAAGACCCGUAGCCUGAGCUGCCAUUCAACUGU
rnacentral:lncRNA from 1 species